rnacentral:rRNA from 1 species
AACGAACGCUGGCGGCAGGCUUAACACAUGCAAGUCGAACGGGUGUAGCAAUACAUCAGUGGCAGACGGGUGAGUAACACGUGGGAACCUUCCUAGGGGUACGGAACAACUCAGGGAAACUUGAGCUAAUACCGUAUACGUCCGUAAGGAGAAAGAUUCAUCGCCCCUAGACGGGCCCGCGUCGGAUUAGGUAGUUGGUGGGGUAACGGCCUACCAAGCCUACGAUCCGUAGCUGAUCUGAGAGGAUGAUCAGCCACACUGGGACUGAGACACGGCCCAGACUCCUACGGGAGGCAGCAGUGGGGAAUCUUGGACAAUGGGCGCAAGCCUGAUCCAGCCAUGCCGCGUGAGUGGAGAAGGCCUUAGGGUUGUAAAGCUCUUUUACCAGGGACGAUAAUGACGGUACCUGGAGAAUAAGCCCCGGCAAACUUCGUGCCAGCAGCCGCCGCGGUAAC